rnacentral:misc_RNA from 1 species
AUGGAGUGAUGAGUGUAUGUUUGUAUGCAGGCCCGAUGGAACAAAGAAGGCGUAUGUGAGGUUGACUCCUGAUUAUGAUGCUUUGGAUGUGGCUAACAAAAUCGGGAUCAUCUAAUCUGAUCAU